rnacentral:tRNA from 1 species
GCCAGCUUAGCUCAGCGGUAGAGCAGUGGUUUUGUAAACCAUCGGUCGUCGGUUCAAGUCCGACAGCUGGCUCCA